UACGUAGGGUGCAAGCGUUAAUCGGAAUUACUGGGCGUAAAGCGUGCGCAGGCGGUUUUGUAAGUCUGUCGUGAAAUCCCCGGGCUUAACCUGGGAAUUGCGAUGGAGACUGCAAGGCUAGAAUCUGGCAGAGGGGGGUAGAAUUCCACGUGUAGCAGCGAAAUGCGUAGAGAUGUGGAGGAACACCGAUGGCGAAGGCAGCCCCCUGGGUCAAGAUUGACGCUCAUGCACGAAAGCGUGGGGAGCAAACAGG
rnacentral:rRNA from 1 species